rnacentral:lncRNA from 10 species
UUUGAGAGGGAGUCUCGCUCUGUCGCCCAGGCUGGAGUGCAGUAUCGCGAUAUCGGUUCGCUGCAAGCUCCGCCUCCCGGGGUCACGUCAUUCUCCUGCCUCAGCUUCCGGAGCAGCUGGGACUGCUGGCGCCCGCCACUACGCUCGGCUAAUUUUUUUGUGUUUUUAGUAGAGACGGGCUUUCACCGUGUUGGCCUAGCGGUUCUCCAACUCCUGACCUCAUGAUCCCCCCGCCUCAGCCUCCCAAAGUGCUGGGAUUACAAGCGUGAGCCACCGCGACCCGCCAACACUCUUGACAACAGUGCUGUGCUAAGAACUUGGGGGACUUCAAAAAGUUCACCAGUUCCUGUGUCCAUGGGUGAAAAGAUUUUCUACAUCUUUCCUUGACUAGAAACAGAAGUCCUGAAACAAGAUGGCUGCCUUGAUUCUACUGGAAAGAGAUCAUCUGCAGAAAAGUACAAAAGAGAAGAGCAUAUUAAAAUAUUUUUUAAAAAAACAACCCCAUAGUUUAAGCAGGCAAAAUACUAAAAUUUAUGUUCUAUGGAUGUCAUUAGCCCCCUAGACAUUAUACAGAGAGUGAGAGGAAAAGAGAAGUUUUGGACAUGUCAUUACGUAUUUUUAUGUGGUGAACUAAUGAUUUUUAUUCUGUAGCAUAGACUUAGAUGAUCUCACUGUGACCCACCAUGCUUUGUGCUAGAAAACAAAGGAAAUAGUGACAUAGAAGAGAUGGGCUGCAAGAUUAAGAGCAGCAUCAGGUUUUUCCUUCUUUUUUUAUUAUGUUUUAAGUUCUGGGGUACAUGUGCAGAAUGUGCAGUUUUGUUACAUAGGUAUGCAUGUGCCAUGGUGGUUUGCUGCACCCAUCAACCCGUCAUCUACAUUAGGUAUUUCUCCUAAUGUUAUCACUCCCCAAGACCCCCAAACCAAAACAGGCCCCUUUGUGUGAUGUUACCCUCCCUGUGUCCAUGUGUUCUCACUGUUCAACUCCCACUUAUGAGUGAGGACAUGUGGUGUUUGGUUUUCUGUAUUUGUGUUAGUUUGCUGAGAAUGAUGGUUUCCAGCUUCAUCCAUGUCCCUUCAAAGGACAUGAACGCAUCCUUUUUUAUGGCUGCAUAGUAUUCCAUGCUGUGUAUGUGCCACAUUUUCCUUACCCAGUCUAUCAUUGAUGGGCAUUUAAGUUGGUUCCAAGUCUUUGCUA